AUAUGCAUAAACAAAUUCAAAGAGUAUCUGAAAUUUAUUAAAAUAAAUUUAAAAAUUUAACAUGUUACUGAUUAUGAAGAAGUGUUUGUAAAACACCUGAUUUCUAAAAUAAACUUGUGAAUCUAAAAAGGUGCUAACCUGCAUACAAAAUGUGGACAAUUUUCCCCUUUCAAUUAAUUUCUAUUGUCCGGAGGAAUAACAAUGAACACAGGAAAAGUAUUUCACUCUUUUUUUUCUUAUGCUCCUUUAAAAUUAUCUCUUCACAGAGAUAUCCCGAGAAAUUAGAAGUACCCUAGGAAUCAGUAUUUUUACCAAAUAAUUAUUUUGAAAAUGAAUGUAUGUGCCAUUUUCCUUUGUUUUUUCAGUAGAUAAUUGUAAGUAUUGUCAUCAGGAAAAAGGGAAUAAAAACUAAGUCUAAAACACAUUGUAAGGCAACAAAUAGAUGCUUCUAUAUUUACAGUAAAAUAUUUGUAUUUUCUUUUAAUAGGAAGCCUUCAUAAAUUAUUAAAUCACGCUUGAUCAAGUUAACAAUGGAGUUAACUACAAGCAGGUAUCUUUUUAGUGCUGAAAUGGACACACUAAUUGUGAACCAUGUGGUAAGGAGCUCCCUCUAAAAUAUGCAGUAGCGCAUUUACUGGAAUUUAACAGGCUGUGUACUUUAAAGCCUCUCUUGCCUGUAAUCAUGUGAACAAACCUUGCAAGUCACAAAGAUCCAGCACAGCACAGAACAGCAGCACUGGAACAGCCCCCACCACUGGGUAAGGGACAGAAAGGAGAUGGUGACCUGCAACAGGAUGAGAGACCACACUUACCAGGAUUUGCUCACGGUUUUGCUCCUGGCAACUAACAUUUCCAUUUUUCUCAAAGCUUCUACAUCUGUGUCAUCAGACAAAGCCCCACGAGUGGUAGCAGAGCAAACUGAAGCCUUCAUUUUCAAGUUGGAAGAGAAAAAAAUAUUUACAUGUCUAAAUCCCAGAACUGACUGUUCAGAGGUCACUCUUUGUUGCCCACUGCUAUGAACCAUUAAGGCUUCCGAAAGCUCUAAAAGAAACAGGACAUAAUCUGGGGCAGAAAAAUCUUAUUGCUUUAAAUUUGCUUAAAUUCUAUUUCAUUGUAUUAUAUGAUUUUUGUCCUACGAGAGGAACAUGAAAGAUGGGAUGUUUCCAUCAUUGCUUGCAUUAAUGACUACUUAAAUUGACAUAGCUUGGAGGACAAAGCUUUGACCAUUCACUGAAGGAGAAUAUAUUUUAGUUGAUUAGGACUUUAGACUAUUUUAAAGGGAAAAUUACUGAUUCAUGCAAUGAAUUUUAUUGUUUUAUCAGCCUUACACCUCAGUAUUUAUAUAUAUUUUUGGUUACAAAUUUAGGUAAAUGUUUAACUAUGUGUUUUAAUGUUGUCCUGCCUUUUUUUUUUUCCUUUCCUGUUUAAGACAGGUUUCUCUGAAUCAAAUAUAGUGACAAUUAGUACAAUUUCCAGAUAUAUCAGCAAGAGUUUCUGUACUAAGUGUGGGAAUGUAGAUGUUAAGAGGAAGCACAAGUAAUGACUUUUUUUUUUUUCCAUUCACAAAGGAAGCAUUAAGACAUCAAGGUUAUUCAACAGAAAUUAAUAAAUGCACCCUGGAAAGUUAUUGGUUUGCCAAACUGUGAGAGGAUCUCUGAAAUAAUAAAGAUAAAAUAAAACAAAAACCUGGAGAAA